rnacentral:rRNA from 1 species
UAAUCUGCCCUUUAGGGGAGAACAACUCAUCGAAAGGUGAGCUAAAUCUCCGUAACAUAUAGACACGGCAUCGUGUCAUUAUCAAGUUUUCUAAGGGAUGAGCCUGCGUCUGAUUAGCUAGUUGGUAGUGUAAUGGACUACCAAGGCUACGAUCAGUAGCUGGUCUGAGAGGAUGAUCAGCCACAUUGGGACUGAGACACGGCCCAG